CUCAUCAGUUUGAUUAACCAAGAAUCAAAUAAUCUGUAAAGAUGAAGCUAUGGAUCCCAAAUGUGUGUCGAUUUAUCUGGUUAAUCAGUUAAUUGUUGGCAUGAGAAAAUAUUAAAUCCAUUAUCUGCAAAUAAAAAGGGUGUAAAUUGUUGGAAAUCCAAUGAAUGAGAAGAUUAUGUUAAUCACUGGCAUAUUCUCAACAAUUAGGAAAUAGAGAACUCGUUGAUUAGCAAAUUGUUGGAUCCAAAAAAGGAAUCAAAAUAUUGAGAAUCCAAAGGUCGUCGGUCUCGAGAUACAAACGGAGGACAAAUUGCUGAUCAAUUUUCUUUGAGAAUCAACGAUCAUCUGUAACUCAACUAUUCUAAUCAUGACUGAAAAAUUGAGAAAAUGUUGAUUGUAUUAGUUAAUUGGUUAAUUGGUUAAUUGUUGAAAUUUUCGGGAACGAAUUAUUUUGCUUAUAUGAACCAGAUCAAAAUUGAAACGAUGUGAUGAUUUGAUUGUUUGUUUCAUUACGACCAUUCAGUCAGUUGCUCAAAUCGGACAAAUGAUGAAAAAGUUUCGGAGGAUUGAAUUGGACAUUGGGCCUUUACACGACAGGACAAUGACGGGUUUUGGCCUGGUACUCAGAGUUAAUUCCGUUCGAUGUUAUCAAAACUGAAGUUCUUGAAGUCUUUUUGAUUGUUCACAAGAAAUUAGUAUCGGAGUGAUUAUAUUGAUUGAUUUUCUUCACAUUAGGAGGCCAAAACGAAAAAUUCCAUAAAAAUCUCCGCUAAAAUAGAUAUUUACAUGGAAGUUGAUGAUUUCAUGAAGAUCAUAAUGGAAACAAUUAAGAGAGAAAUUAAAAACAUUCUAAUUAACUUUCAUCACGAAAAUGUUAAUCACUUUAUCUUUUCCCUCUUCGUUUUUGUUCACAAUCACAUGUUAACCUUUUUAUCAAGUGACGAUUUUAAUUGUUUAUCUUUUACUAAUUUACAUUUGUAUCUUUAAUUAGUGUAACUUAAUUAACCAUCUUAGUUGACAAUUAAUCAUUUUUUUCAAGGUUUGCCUUUUCUUUACGUGGGAUUGACUGGAUUAACUUUCAUGCCAAAGGAACAUUGAAAUUGAGUUAAUAUCGUCUCAUGGAUUAACUGAUUAUCUUAAUUGAUAAUCUUUCCAGUUGAUUUUUUGUUUUGGUUAAUAAUAAUCAAUGAAUUUAUGUUUACAUGAAAAACUGAUAGUCUUUAGGUUCAUCUGAUCUGAUUAUCUUUUUAAUUGUAAGCUGAGUUGGUGAUUAGAUGAGAAAACAAAUUCUGUAUAUUGAUUGAUUACAAUCAAUAGUUUUCUGUUUUUGCUACACACUCAUGAAAGAAUUGAAUUUUUUAAUCAAUUACAAUUUGAACUGAUUCUGUUUAAUCACAAGGAUAUGAUGAUUAAUUUUUUUCAAUUUGUACUAAUCAAGUGAUCAUCAUUUACCUGGAGGUUUAAUUUUUUUUUACUUCUACCCAAUGAGAGGCGUUUAAAUCAAAUCAAAACAAUGGACAGGCGUGUGAUUUACAAACAAUUACACUCCAAACAAUCAGCUGAUUAUUGUGAUCAUUUUCUCGGUGUGAGGUUGAACAAAUUGGUGUGACAAUUAAAUAACAACUGAGAGAGAGAGAGAGGAAAAAGUCAAAAUGAGUGAGAUUAAAAUUCUCAUUAAAUCAAGUUGACUAACCACUGGAAGAGUAAAUUGAGUCCUUGAAGUUUUAACCAGAUUGUUAAUCAUAUUCCUGUGUUUCUGAUAAUCAACUGAACAACUGAUUUUCAAGGACAAUCAAUUGAACAGCUAAAAUUGAAUAACAAUUAGAAAUGGAUCAAAUUCUUAACCCAAAAAGGAUACAUUGAGUUAUAUGGAAACAAUUGAUUGAGUAUAAACAAUUUAAUUGUGUGUGUGUGCCUAUGAUUGUAUAAAAGAAUCAAAAAAGAGAUGAUUUAGAAAACAAUUUCUUUUUUUUGGUUAAGCAUUUUUGGUGUUUUAACAAAUAGUAAACAGAGAGAGUAAAAGUAAAAGUGAGUAAGAAAACUGUAAAAAAAA